rnacentral:rRNA from 1 species
AUUGAACGCUGGCGGCAGGCUUAACACAUGCAAGUCGAGCGGAGAUGAGGUGCUUGCACCUUAUCUUAGCGGCGGACGGGUGAGUAAUGCUUAGGAAUCUGCCUAUUAGUGGGGGACAACAUUCCGAAAGGAAUGCUAAUACCGCAUACGCCCUACGGGGGAAAGCAGGGGAUCUUCGGACCUUGCGCUAAUAGAUGAGCCUAAGUCGGAUUAGCUAGUUGGUGGGGUAAAGGCCUACCAAGGCGACGAUCUGUAGCGGGUCUGAGAGGAUGAUCCGCCACACUGGGACGGAGACACGGCCCAGACUCCUACGGGAGGAAGCAGUGGGGAAUAUUGGACAAUGGGCGGAAGCCUGAUCCAGCCAUGCCGCGUGUGUGAAGAAGGCCUUUUGGUUGUAAAGCACUUUAAGCGAGGAGGAGGCUACCUGGAUUAAUACUCUAGGAUAGUGGACGUUACUCGCAGAAUAAGCACCGGCUAACUCUGUGCCAGCCGCCGCGGUAAUAC